GGUGAACCUGCGGAGGGAUCAUUACAGAGUUCGUGCCCGCCUGGGUAGAUCUCCCACCCGUGACAUCUCACACCUUUGUUGCUUUGGCGGGCUUGUGGCCCUGCUGCUGCCCGCCAGAGGCCCCUAACUCAGUAAUUUUAGUAUCGUCUGAGUCCUACAAAAUAGUUAAAACUUUCAACAACGGAUCUCUUGGUUCUGGCAUCGAUGAAGAACGCAGCGAAAUGCGAUAAGUAAUGUGAAUUGCAGAAUUUAGUGAAUCAUCGAAUCUUUGAACGCACAUUGCGCCCUAUGGUAUUCCGUAGGGCAUGCCUGUUCGAGCGUCAUUGCAACCCUCAAGCGCUGCUUGGUCUUGGGCCCGCCUGCUGGGCGAGCCCCAAAUACAGUGGUAGUGCUCCCCGGCCCUGAGCGUAGUACAUCACCCGCUACAGGGCCUGGGGAACCGCGAGCCAGCAAUUUUUACCCCUCAAGGUUGACCUCGGAUCAGGUAGGGAUACCCGCUGAACUUAAGCAUAUCAAUAAGCCGGAGGAA
rnacentral:rRNA from 1 species